CUGUGUCAAACUUUGUCUCCAGGCCAGAAACUCUGGGUGUUCAGUCGAUUAGACUCUUCAACUGUAGAAUAUUGUUUAGAUAAGGGGACAUAAGAAGUUUUACAUUCUUUCAGUUGGGGGCUCGUCUGAGGGGAGACUAUUCUCUCAUUGAACCAAAGAGAACAAAGACCUGUGGGGCGCACUGAAGAUCGGUUACAGACCUACAUAAAAGGGUUUGCAGAUGACAUCCUCGUGUCGGGGGAGACGGAGGAAGACUGUGUAAAAGCAUCUGUGAUAGUUUGCACUGUACUUGCUGAAACAGGUUUUAAAGCCUCGAAGGACACGAUAGGCACCUGAGGGGUCUGAUAGAUCACAAAGCUCCGCCAAACACAGCAUUGGAGUGGACUGCGGAAGCUGAUGAACAUUUCAAUGCUUUGAAAGCAGCCAUCACGACAGCACCAGCAUUGGGCUUGCCGGACUACACCAAGCCUUUUCACUUGCAUGUUAGGGAGACAGCGGGUGCAGCUCUAGGGGUCCUGUUGCAACUUCAUGGCUCAACAUAUAGGCCAGUUGCAUAUCUGUCUAAGAAGUUAGAUAACAUAGUCACAGGUAUGCCAGCAUGUCUUCGUGCUGUGGCUGCAGCUGCUCUGAUUGUACAGAUGGCUGAGAAAACUGUGCUGUCACACCCUUUAAUAUUAUAUGCAUCCCAUCAGGUAGGUGUAAUUUUACACAACAUGCAAACACAACACAUGACAGCGCAACGACGCUCAGGUUACGAGGCUACUCUGCUGGCAACGAAAAAUCUUAGCAUUCAAACAACAGCAAACAUUAAUCCUGCUUUGCUGGGAAUUUUGGGUAUGGUAGACAUGGCAGAUUUUAAUGUUGAACAUGAUUGCAUCUUUGAACUGACCACCUCUUACUCUUCUAGGUUCGAUCUGUUGGAAACGCCCCUAGAGGGGGGAGAACAUAUUUAUGUUGAUGGGUCUUGUUCAAAGCCAUCUGACGGUGUCUACCUCUGUGGCUAUGCUGUGGUUUCCGAGUCAGGAGAGAACAGCCUACUCAUAACUUGGUUCCAGGACAAAAAGUCUUUGUGAGGAGUCUGAAGCCAACAAAGGUUGGAGAACCAAAGUACCACAGACCAGCGACUGUGAUUGCCGUCACAAGGACAGGAGUUCUGACGGACUACCAGCCACAGUGGAUACACGCUUCCAGACUGAAGUUGUGUUCUUCAGGAGAGCAGGCAAGCUCCAAUUUAACAUAGAAUCUCAACAGGGGAUUCACUUACUACACCUCAGGGUGGAGAAAGCACUGACUAAGCUGAGGAAAGAACUACCUUUCGUGAGGUGGGGGCCACCCAAAGCAAGAAGAUAGGAGGCCCAUUGAGUCAACAGUGCUGACUCUGUAGCUUCCCCUGAGGUGCAUUGAGGGCCAAAUUCUAUUCUAAAAAGGAAAAAGGGAACAAUUGUUAUCCUAAGCAAAUUUCCCAUGGAAUUCUUAGAUAUCAAUUCCUAUACUGCGUGCACACUUACAGAAGCCCUUAUUGUGUUUGGCCCAGAUAUUCUUAAAUUCUUAAAUGAUAGAACCUAACAGGCCAUGGCACUCGUUCAGACAGCCAGGUGGACUGCGUGGAACAUCGAUUAUUCUAAUCCUAAUAAGUAAUAAUAUAAUAAUAAUAACAGUAAUAAUAAUCCUAAAUCAAGAAGUAAAAUUAGAGAGAAAUGAACAGCUUACAACAGACAUGAUUUUAAAUGAUGAUGGUAACUGCGAUGCCUAAACAAAUGUCUCUAAUAGUACAAAUGACUCUGAAUAUUUAAGAAGGAAAACCACACAAAAAUACGCGAAUGGAACUAUCAUUUUAUUAAAGAUUCUGUAUUAACACCUUGUUCUUUAAAGGGACACAGAACUGCUUGUAAGACCGUUGGUCUGAAAGUGGCCAGCGUGAGAAUCUGGAUUUCAUCCUGUCCUCUACAAAUAUUGCAUCUGUGUUUAUUACAAAGUUCAUAUAUCAUAUGUAUUCAUUCCUAUUCAUUCCUAUUAAUAUUAGUUUUUAUUGAUAUAAGAUGUGCCUUUCACUCUUGUUGUUUAACCUUGUUUAAAGUUGUAUCGUAUCUUAUGCUGUCUCAUGUUUAUAUAAGUUUCUGUUGUUCUCCAUCUCAAGGUUCCUAAUAAUGUCUAGGGACAAUUGUUUUGAUAUUGUAAUAUUGAAUACGUGAUCAUAACUGAUUGUUCAGGAGGAAUAAGACUAAACAGAAAGUCUGGUGAUUUUCCACUCUGGUGGUUUUAUAUGACACGUCCUGUUUCAAGCUUAUAAAUAUUAGUCCUUAAUACAAUAAACUUUGGACUCUGAUUGAACAAGCACUUGUGUCUGUGUCAAACUUUGUCUCCAGGCCUGAAACUCUGUGUGUUCCGUCGACUAGACUCUUCAACCGUAGAAUAUUGUUUAGACAAGGGGACGUAAGAAGUUCUCAUUCUUACAUACACCACGUUUAUACAUUUGGGUAUCAUUACAUGUGGUCAGAAAUGACAAGUACCGGCACUGAGCUCAAAACAACAGUUGAUCAUCACAGUUACUAAAAAUGAGUCGUCCAGAACUUCAGAAGUUCACAUUUGAUCCGUUUUGUCCUCAAGAACCAAGUUCCACACGUUAUGGCACGGUCAGACUUGAGUUUGACCAUAAGAAGAUCGUUCGGGCGAUGGAAUGAAAAUGGGCUGGCGCGAUUCCUCCAUUUUUUACAUUCACUCUGUGACGUUUUGAUCUUCUAUUGGUCUCACUCACUCACGUGACACGAAUUUGCCAAACUUAAACUUGGCUACGCAGUGUAAUGCAAAAUAUGGUUGGACGGGCUUGCGUUUCCGGUCUGUCGCAUUCGCAUGCGUCUGAAUGAAAGUCAAAGGAGGGAAAAGUCAAGUGUGGGCACGGCAUUAGUCAUCCAUCAUCGCUUCAUCCCACCUUCCCUGUGCUACAGAUACUUCUAGAA